rnacentral:rRNA from 1 species
GAUGAACGCUGGCGGCGUGCCUAAUACAUGCAAGUCGAGCGAACAGAUGAGGAGCUUGCUCCUCUGACGUUAGCGGCGGACGGGUGAGUAACACGUGGAUAACCUACCUAUAAGACUGGGAUAACUUCGGGAAACCGGAGCUAAUACCGGAUAAUAUAUUGAACCGCAUGGUUCAAUAGUGAAAGACGGUUUUGCUGUCACUUAUAGAUGGAUCCGCGCCGCAUUAGCUAGUUGGUAAGGUAACGGCUUACCAAGGCAACGAUGCGUAGCCGACCUGAGAGGGUGAUCGGCCACACUGGGACUGAGACACGGUCCAGACUCCUACGGGAGGCAGCAGUAGGGAAUCUUCCGCAAUGGGCGAAAGCCUGACGGAGCAACGCCGCGUGAGUGAUGAAGGUCUUCGGAUCGUAAAACUCUGUUAUUAGGGAAGAACAAGUGUGUAAGUAACUAUGCACGUCUUGACGGUACCUAAUCAGAAAGCCACGGCUAACUACGUG